rnacentral:rRNA from 1 species
AUGAACGCUAGCUACAGGCUUAACACAUGCAAGUCGAGGGGCAUCAGGAAGAAAGCUUGCUUUCUUUGCUGGCGACCGGCGCACGGGUGAGUAACACGUAUCCAACCUGCCCUUUACUCGGGGAUAGCCUUUCGAAAGAAAGAUUAAUACCCGAUGGCAUAAUGAUUCCGCAUGGUUUCAUUAUUAAAGGAUUCCGGUAAAGGAUGGGGAUGCGUUCCAUUAGGUUGUUGGUGAGGUAACGGCUCACCAAGCCUUCGAUGGAUAGGGGUUCUGAGAGGAAGGUCCCCCACAUUGGAACUGAGACACGGUCCAAACUCCUACGGGAGGCAGCAGUGAGGAAUAUUGGUCAAUGGGCGCUAGCCUGAACCAGCCAAGUAGCGUGAAGGAUGAAGGCUCUAUGGGUCGUAAACUUCUUUUAUAUAAGAAUAAAGUGCAGUAUGUAUACUGUUUUGUAUGUAUUAUAUGAAUAAGGAUCGGCUAACUCCGUGCCAGCAGCCGCGGUAAUACGGAGGAUCCGAGCGUUAUCCGGAUUUAUUGGGUUUAAAGGGAGCGUAGGUGGACUGGUAAGUCAGUUGUGAAAGUUUGCGGCUCAACCGUAAAAUUGCAGUUGAUACUGUCAGUCUUGAGUACAGUAGAGGUGGGCGGAAUUCGUGGUGUAGCGGUGAAAUGCUUAGAUAUCACGAAGAACUCCGAUUGCGAAGGCAGCUCACUGGACUGCAACUGACACUGAUGCUCGAAAGUGUGGGUAUCAAACAGGAUUAGAUACCCUGGUAGUCCACACAGUAAACGAUGAAUACUCGCUGUUUGCGAUAUACAGUAAGCGGCCAAGCGAAAGCAUUAAGUAUUCCACCUGGGGAGUACGCCGGCAACGGUGAAACUCAAAGGAAUUGACGGGGGCCCGCACAAGCGGAGGAACAUGUGGUUUAAUUCGGUGAUACGCGAGGAACCUUACCCGGGCUUAAAUUGCAGUGGAAUGAUGUGGAAACAUGUCAGUGAGCAAUCACCGCUGUGAAGGUGCUGCAUGGUUGUCGUCAGCUCGUGCCGUGAGGUGUCGGCUUAAGUGCCAUAACGAGCGCAACCCUUAUCUUUAGUUACUAACAGGUUAUGCUGAGGACUCUAGAGAGACUGCCGUCGUAAGAUGUGAGGAAGGUGGGGAUGACGUCAAAUCAGCACGGCCCUUACGUCCGGGGCUACACACGUGUUACAAUGGGGGGUACAGAAGGCAGCUAGCGGGUGACCGUAUGCUAAUCCCAAAAGCCUCUCUCAGUUCGGAUCGAAGUCUGCAACCCGACUUCGUGAAGCUGGAUUCGCUAGUAAUCGCGCAUCAGCCACGGCGCGGUGAAUACGUUCCCGGGCCUUGUACACACCGCCCGUCAAGCCAUGGGAGCCGGGGGUACCUGAAGUACGUAACCGCAAGGAUCGUCCUAGGGUAAAACUGGUGACUGGGGCU